UUGGUUUGUUACGGGUGGUUGGCUCUCUGCUUUUGCAACAACUUCCACCCGGCAUUCCUCUUCAGUUGUGCGUCAAGGUUGUGUUUCCUUGAGCGCUUUUGGUUUCCUGUGUUGCCUACCAAUGUGAGGGUAUCGUUUGAUUUCAUCCGUCUGGUUUUUAUCUUUGCGUCGUACGUGGCGUGUGAUGAACCUCAAAGCAGUCUCUAUGAUCCACCUUGUCGAGGCACAUGUCUUGAUGCUGUGGUCCAUUGAAAUAUGCUUGGUCUCUUGGAUCAGAACAUGACAUGGGCGAGGGUCUCCCGAUCCUGUUUUUGCCCUUGAUGAACGUUGGCAUACUCUAAGACGGAUGCCUAGCCCGAAUUGGCUCGUACCACCGGGUAGGUUAUGUUGUUGAAGAGCAAUGCUUUCGUUCUUGCUUCUCUAGAACGAAGGCGCCGCCUGCUGGGCUCGUACCAGCAGGUGGGCUAUGUCGAAAAGGGAUGCUACCUGGUUGAUCCUGCCAGUAGUCAUAUGCUUGUCUCAA
rnacentral:misc_RNA from 1 species